GAUCUGGGAACUAGAUAGAGGAGCUAAGCUGAACCUUAUGCAUACAAGGCAGUGGUUGAUCACUCUCCCUCAAGGGCUUCACACCAAGGUAGAGUUUUAUAUCCCAGGGAGACUUGGGGUAUUUACACAAGGCUGUGAAGCCCUUGGGGGAGACUGACCAAGCUUUUUGCCUUCACAUAGUGUGCGGCUUCUUUGUCUGUAUGAUCCAAUCGAAGGUGCUGCGAGGCACUUUCGUUAACUCUCCCUCAAGGGCUUCUAGGAAUGCUAGAAAUGGCAAGCUAGGAGCACUUGAGGAGAGUUAACAAAAAGUGUCUUGAUUGAUGUUAGCGUACGCCACUUAUAUAUUGCAUUCGAUGUUGGUCGGUCAUGACUCAAGCUCAGAAAUGUUGAUCAAAAACUCCAAGGCACUUUCGUUAACUCUCCCUCAAGGGCUUCUAGCAAUGCCGCAACAGACGUAUGGCAAGCUUGGAGCGUUUAGGGAGAGUUAACAAAAAGUGUCUUGAUUGAUGUAGUAUGCCCACUAAUGGCAUUAAUUUGAUGGUCAUGAGACUCAUGACUCAGAGGUCUUUGAAUUUAAUUCUUCUUUUGCAAAGAAGGGUGUGCUGACGCUUACUGUUUUGGUAUCUUGCUAGCUCUAGCUCAGGAGAAAAUAGUAUGCCCGUGUGACAAAAUUUUGACUCCGGAUUGCUGCUGAUCAUCCAGAAUGGUGGUUCAAUCUGAUUGUGAAGGACUUUGAUACCCAAUGAAAACUCCAGCAUUUGCUUCAGAUAUGAACUUUACUAAUUUAGGACGGUAGUCCCUGCAUGUACGUACAGUUAAUUCAGAGACGUGGAUGAUCAAUAUAUUUCCAGUAGUUGUAAACAGCUAGCUAAGCUAAGGUAGCUCAACACGAAUCAGUUCAGUUGCAGAGUAUACUUGGCUCAAGCUCAAGUAAUUGUAUUAAACUAACUCAGCCCGAGUUAAAAUUGUAAUCUCCAAAAUUGAUAGCGA